rnacentral:tRNA from 1 species
AGUCGUGGCCUAAUGGUUAGAGAGUCGGACUUGUAACCCGACGGUGAACCCGAAGGUCAUGGGUUCGAGUCUCAGGACUG